rfam:Bagaza virus strain DakAr B209, complete genome
GAGAGUCAGGCCGGAUUACAUGUCCGCCACCGGAUGUUGGAUGACGGUGCUGCCUGCAGUCCAACCCCAGGAGGACUGGGU